CGAUCUCAGUUCGGAUUGCAGGCUGCAACUCGCCUGUAUGAAGUCGGAAUUGCUAGUAAUCGCGGAUCAGCAUGCCGCGGUGAAUACGUUCCCGGGCCUUGUACACACCGCCCGUCACACCAUGAGAGUCGGGAACACCCGAAGUCCGUAGUCUAACCGCAAGGAGGGCGCGGCCGAAGGUGGGCUUGAUAAUUGGGGUGAAGUCGUAACAAGGUAUC
rnacentral:rRNA from 1 species